rnacentral:rRNA from 1 species
GCAAGUCGAACGGGGUCCUUCGGGGCCCAGUGGCGCACGGGUGCGUAACGCGUAUGUAACCUACCUCAAACUGGGGGAUAGCCCGGAGAAAUCCGGAUUAAUACCGCAUAACACCUUUCGAUGGCAUCUGAGGAAGGUUAAAGAUUUAUUGGUUUGAGAUGGGCAUGCGUGCCAUUAGCUAGUUGGCGGGGUAAGGGCCCACCAAGGCGACGAUGGCUAGGGGUUCUGAGAGGACGGUCCCCCACACUGGCACUGAGAUACGGGCCAGACUCCUACGGGAGGCAGCAGUAGGGAAUAUUGGGCAAUGGGCGGAAGCCUGACCCAGCCAUGCCGCGUGCAGGAUGAAGGCCUUCUGGGUUGUAAACUGCUUUUACAGGGGAAGAAAACGCCCAUGCGUGGGAAACUGACGGUACCCUGGGAAUAAGCACCGGCUAACUCCGUGCCAGCAGCCGCGGUAAUACGGAGGGUGCAAGCGUUGUCCGGAUUUAUUGGGUUUAAAGGGUGCGUAGGCGGCCCAUUAAGUCAGCGGUGAAAGCCCGGGGCUCAACCCCGGAACCGCCGUUGAUACUGGUGGGCUUGAGUAUGGACGAGGUUGGCGGAAUUGAGGGUGUAGCGGUGAAAUGCUUAGAUACCCUCAAGAACACCGAUUGCGUAGGCAGCUAACUAGGCCAUAACUGACGCUGAGGCACGAAAGCGUGGGGAGCGAACAGGAUUAGAUACCCUGGUAGUCCACGCCGUAAACGAUGACUACUCGAUGUCGGCGACAGACUGUC